UAAAGCUGAACAUAUCUGGGAAGAGG
rnacentral:piRNA from 1 species